GGAUACACCAGCUAUAUCAUAUCUACUUCGUAGUAUCAUUAACUCUGAAUGAAUCAGCAGUGACGCCUACUAAAUACAACCCAGGGAAAACAUUAUCGAGCUGUUUCUGAAUUGUCUUGGAUCGUUUUUUGGGUCUUCUAGCGGGUCUUGACCCGGUCAUAGAAUACACAUCUUCUUCAAUCUCUUCCCUUGACAGUGAGAUCCAUAGUUUCUUCUUCCCCUUUUUACCCGACCCGACUCCAUUUCCAUCCGCGUUAUCUUUCAACCUCUGCGACCUCUGCAUAUGAUUACUGCUUUCAACUCGCAUUUCAACGUUCUUCAACGACGUCGUCUCAACCUUCGUAACACCCCUUCUUGGCCUUAGAUUCCAUAACUUCACCUCCCCUUCUUCACAACCCACUUCUUCUUCUUC
rnacentral:misc_RNA from 1 species